rnacentral:lncRNA from 1 species
UGGACUCGUCUCUCACCGUCCUAAAAGCGUAUAUUGAUAUAACUAAUGAUAGAAACAAAUAUUCAUCAAACAAAUUGGAGGUUGGGGCACUCCUGGCGGAGAACCGUAAGGCCUAGUGGAAACACCCCGUACACUAAGCCCGCACUAGCGCGUCACAAAGUUAAUGGGACCUCAGACCUGUCAUUAACUUGCAAACCUAGCACUAACUAUAUGGCGGGCAACUUUUAGGAGCUGGUUUGUGCCUUCUGACCACAGACCUUUGAUCUGGGCAGCUAUCUUUUUUCCUUCCUGCAAACGCCGCGUUGACUUGCGCACGCCCAACACCGACAGCCUCAGAAGGCUGUAGCCCGUGAGGGCUGCCAGGAAAAGCCUACGAUCCAUAUUUUCCUUGCAGACCUUGACAAUUAGCAGCAAUUAAUACCUGGCGCUAAAACAUUCAAAAUACGAAAACCAUUUUGGUUUCGGCGUUCCUUAGUGCAGCUAGUGAAACACCAUCACACUAAACGAUAUCGCGUCCGUGAAUGCAUCUGCGACAAGGCACCAACAAGUGUCGACCCUCGUACACGGGUUGUCGCCUGGGUAUCUAAAACAUCUACUUGCCCAGAAACCAAAUCCAGCAUCAAAUACGUGAUGGCUAAAUCUUUCGAAGUUUGCCAACUAGUCACGCUAAGUUGUCAGCAGCCACAGAAGACAACUACCGUACUGCCACGAUAUUUUUGUGACACGCUUUUGGGGAAGGCUCGAAAAUCAUAGCCGGAAUUAUGCUAAUGAUUUGCAUUUUUGGUGACGAGUCCCGGACAUAAUUGCAGUUGUGACACCCAGUUUGGCGACGCUCCAGGGAGGCCCCGAGCAGAAACCGCAGCAUUAUUACUGUGUUCAUUCGUUCGUUGCUCUGAGAGGAAACAUACACGUAGAUGAAGCGCAAGGUAAUCAAUCUGUCAACCAAACAAAACAGGUUAGGCACCACAGAGCUGGCCCCCUUGCAAAACCCCCAAGUCCCCUCUGCCGCAAAUCCCGAAACCUCCCUUCAAGCAAAACUGUUAUGACGCCCUCAGGCCGUCAGUCUUGAAAUAACGUAUGGAACCGUUGACCCGCGGUCCCCUGCACCUACCAUAAUUUACUUAAUGAGUGAGGAUGUGUGGAAAGCGACCAAUAUACAGGCGUGAACGUCUCAGCGAUAACGGGCAGGCUUGCUAAUCUGCCGUUUGUUGGCAGCACGGGCCUCCGCCAACUGCACUACCGCCUCCUCUUCCACCUCCGACUCCUCCGACUCCCCCUCGCUGCUCUCGCCCGGUUGCGGCCUAGCCUGGGCAGUAGAGCUGUGAGUAACACUUGCUUCGGCUUCUUGGACGCCAUUGGAGCGAGCUCAUGGAAAAUCUGUCAGAAAGCCUUUUUUUGAGUGGAAAACUAUAUAUAUAACUUAUUACUGAGUUAGAUUGAGAAUUCGGACCUGUUCUGGCCGGUAUCCUGCAUGUUUAAACGCGGUGUACGGUGUAUUGGUGACACUUAUUUUGGCGACGGGCAAAAAAAUCUGCCAAUAGAGCUUUCUCCACAGACACGCAUUUGGUGACGCCAUACCAAUUGCGUGUCACAAAAAUAUCGUGGCAAUACGGUAUCUCGGUAGUGUCCACCAACGUUUAUCUACCUACUAAACAACAACAGUCAAGAUUAAAAAGUUGGACCGAAAACGUUCGCAGACUCUGGUUGACAUUAUGUGGCCUCCAAGCACUGUCAGCUAGGAUGAAUUGACAAAAUAUCGAAGUCGUGUUCGCACAUAGGUGUUGUCGUGGCGUGCGCGAAGG